UACGUAGGUGGCGAGCGUUGUCCGGAUCUACUGGGCGUAAAGCGCGCGCAGGCGGUCCGGUAAGUCUCCGGUGAAAUCGCCCGGCUCAACUGGGCGGGUGCCGGGGAGACUGGCGGACUUGAGGAGCCUAGAGGCCGGUGGAACUCCCGGUGUAGUGGUGAAAUGCGUAGAGAUCGGGAAGAACACCAGUGGCGAAGGCGGCCGGCUGGGGGUGUCCUGACGCUGAGGCGCGAGAGCGUGGGGAGCAAACCGG
rnacentral:rRNA from 1 species